AUCAUAUCUCUCUAUAUAUAAUAUAUAAAUAUCAAAAUAUAGUGUCUUCCUUGCUAUACAUUUCUAGUGAGAAAAAGGAAUUAAACCUUUCACUCCCCCCCAAUACAAAAAGAAAAAAAAAAUAAUAAUAAUAAAAAAGAAAAGAAGGCCAAAGAUGAUGACAUUACAGCAAACUUAACAAACUUCUCACUGAGGACAAGUAGUUUUAAUUGGUGCACUAUAGCUAUAACCAUAAAGAAGACAAUUCGUAAAAUUCGCCGCUACAACUCUAGCAUCUUCAUCCGGUGUCCUCUUAGUGCAGAUGCAAAUUCAUCCCUUACAUAAAACUUAUUUACCUGUUUGAUAUAGGGUUUGGUCCGCUGGGAACUUCAUGAGCUUCAGCUCCAAACUCUGAACCUUUUGAUUUUGAAGUAGAAGAAGAUGAAGCAUGCGAGUUUUGAGAUUUUUUUGGGUGCAUGUUCGUCAUGGUAGUAGUAGAAGAGGUUGAUUCUGAGGGUUCCAACAGAAGCCUUUUGAUGGAAAUUGAGGAAGCCAUAGUCACCUUGGAUGGGUUUAUGGGUUUUUUGGCAGGGCUAAUGAGUAAAAGAAAAAUGAAGA
rnacentral:misc_RNA from 1 species